rnacentral:rRNA from 1 species
CCCUACGGGACGCAGCAGUAGGGAAUAUUGCACAAUGGGGGGAACCCUGAUGCAGCGACGCCGCGUGGGUGAAGAAGCGCCUCGGCGCGUAAAGCCCUGUCAGCAGGGAAGAAAAUGACGGUACCUGAAGAAGAAGCCCCGGCUAACUACGUGCCAGCAGCCGCGGUAAUACGUAGGGGGCAAGCGUUAUCCGGAUUUACUGGGUGUAAAGGGGGCGCAGACGGCGAUGCAAGCCAGGAGUGAAAGCCCGGGGUCCAACCCCGGGACUGCUCUUGGAACUGCGUGGCUGGAGUGCAGGAGGGGCG